AUUGAACGCUGGCGGCAUGCCUUACACAUGCAAGUCGAACGCGAAAAGGGGGGCAACCCCUGAGUAGAGUGGCGAACGGGUGAGUAAUACAUCGGAACGUGUCCAGUAGCGGGGGAUAACCUCUCGAAAGAGAGGCUAAUACCGCAUACGACCUACGGGUGAAAGAGGGGGAUCGCAAGACCUCUCACUAUUGGAGCGGUCGAUGUCGGAUUAGCUAGUUGGCGGGGUAACGGCCCACCAAGGCUACGAUCCGUAGCUGGUCUGAGAGGACGACCAGCCACACUGGAACUGAGACACGGUCCAGACUCCUACGGGAGGCAGCAGUGGGGAAUUUUGGACAAUGGGCGCAAGCCUGAUCCAGCCAUGCCGCGUGAGUGAAGAAGGCCUU
rnacentral:rRNA from 1 species